rnacentral:rRNA from 1 species
UAGCUCACUGGUCGAGUGAUCCUGCGCCGAAGAUUUCCGGGGCUAAAACUUACUACCGAAGCUACGGCAUCAGUAAUGAUGGGUAGGGGAGCUUCCCAUACGGGUUGAAGCAUGACCGUAAGGACAUGUGGACAGUAUGGGAGUGAGAAUGUUGGCAUGAGUAGCGAGAUGUGGGUGAGAAUCCCACAGGCCGUAAACCCAAGGUUUCCAGGGGAAGGUUCGUCCGCCCUGGGUUAGUCGGGACCUAAGCUGAGGCCGAAAGGCGUAGGUGAUGGACAACAGGUUGAUAUUCCUGUACUACCGAUAACCGUUUGAGAGAAGGGAUGACACAGUAGGAUAAGCUAAGCACACUGUUGGUUAUGUGUGCCCAAGCAUUGAGGCAGUCAAAGCAGGCAAAUCCGCUUUGAUAAUGCUGGGAUGUGAUGGGGAGCGAAAUUUAGUAGCGAAGUAGCUGAUUUCACACUGUCAAGAAAAGUCUCUAUCGAGGUUAAAGGUACCCGUACCGCAAACCGACACAGGUGGGUGAGGAGAGUAUCCUAAGGCCAGCGAGAGAACUGUUGUUAAGGAACUCGGCAAAAUGACCCCGUAACUUAGGGAUAAGGGGUGCCACCAUCCGGUGGCCGCAGAGAAUAGGCCCAAGCGACUGUUUACCAAAAACAUAGGUUUCUGCUAAGUCGCAAGACGAUGUAUAGGAGCUGACGCCUGCCCGGUGCUGGAAGGUUAAGGGGAUCUGUUAGAGUAAUCGAAGCAGUGAACUUAAGCCCCAGUAAACGGCGGCCGUAACUAUAACGGUCCUAAGGUAGCGAAAUUCCUUGUCGGGUAAGUUCCGACCCGCACGAAAGGCGUAACGAUUUGGGCACUGUCUCAACAACAGACUCGGUGAAAUUGUAAUUCCGGUGAAGAUGCCGGAUACCUGCGACAGGACGGAAAGACCCCAUGGAGCUUUACUGUAGCUUGACAUUGGGUCUUGGUACUACAUGUACAGGAUAGGUGGGAGGCUUUGAAACCAGGACGCCAGUUUUGGCGGAGCCAUCCUUGGGAUACCACCCUUGUAGUACUGGGACUCUAACCAUAGGCCAUGAAUCUGGUCUUGGGACACUGUCAGGUGGGCAGUUUGACUGGGGCGGUCGCCUCCCAAAAGGUAACGGAGGCGCUCAAAGGUUCUCUCAGUACGGUCGGAAAUCGUACGUAGAGUGUAAAGGCAAAAGAGAGCUUGAUUGCAAGACAUACAGGUCGAGCAAGGAUGAAAAUCGGACUUAGUGAUCCGGUGGUUCUGCGUGGAAGGGCCAUCGCUCAACGGAUAAAAGCUACCCUGGGGAUAACAGGCUUAUCUCCCCCAAGAGUCCACAUCGACGGGGAGGUUUGGCACCUCGAUGUCGGCUCAUCACAUCCUGGGGCUGUAGUAGGUCCCAAGGGUUGGGCUGUUCGCCCAUUAAAGUGGUACGCGAGCUGGGUUCAGAACGUCGUGAGACAGUUCGGUCCCUAUCCGUCGCAGGCGUAGGAAAUUUGAGAAGACCUGUCCUUAGUACGAGAGGACCGGGAUGGACGUACCUCUGGUGUACCAGUUGUUCUGCCAAGGGCAUGGCUGGGUAGCUAUGUACGGAAUGGAUAAGCGCUGAAAGCAUCUAAGCGCGAAGCC